GCCUGGGUGGCUCAGUCAGUUAAGCAUCUGACUUUGGCUCAGGUCAUGAUCUCGCAGUUUGUGGGUUCGAGCCCCGCAUCAGGUU
rnacentral:tRNA from 1 species